UUUUAAUAUUCACCCAGGCCACCCUAUCACUGCGGGUGCUGAGAAGCGGUGCCAGCGAAGCGGAAGGUGUGCAUGACCUCAGCCGCUGGCAGCAGACCUUAAGUUACUGUUGGUGGCUCUCAGACUCCACAGCCACUUCAAAGCCUGAGUCCACAGCAAAGGCCACGCCUUUUGGCCACCCCUGGGGCCAGCCUGACUGGCUUCUCUUCCCUUCUGUGGGCUGCUCCUUUCUCUCCAGACUAGCAAGCUCCUCUUCUUCCCCUACGAAUACCAGCAGCUCUGCUGGGCAGACCUGAGCAAGGGCUACAAAUGGGGUCCUCAAGAGGUGUCCCGGACCAGAGACUGAGCCAGACUCCCUCUGAGGCAGAGGGCGGAGCCGGUCCCGCCUCCAAGAACAGACCCCGCCGCUGCAGGCAGGUAAACGGGAAUAAUUCAUCCUGCGCUGCAUGCCUGAGGUUUCCAGGCACAAGGAGGGGACUGACUCCCUGCCCACUGCGAGAGCGUGGGUCCUCAGCGCCCCGUGCCCCAAAUCCCCUAGUCUAGAGGCUCAGCUGAGCGCGAAAGAAGGGGCGAGAGGACAGAAAGACGCGUCGGGGCCGAGGGGCCCCGGCGGCCGCCCCGCUUAGGACACCUCUCCCCGCUUCGACCAAACCGCUACCCUGCGAGCGCGAGAGGCGCCAGGAGGCUUGCCCAAUCUUUUAAGUUCCUCACCCUUCACAGCCCCGCCCCCAUUUUCACCGGUGGAUCUCAAGCGCAGCCACGCCCCAAGGGCUGCCCCACCCCACUCUCAGGGUCUGAGAGAUUCGUAGGCGCGCUGGACCCCUGGCCCACGGCCACACCCACCGUCGCGGCCGCGCUCCCUGGGUAAGCGGAGAUUCCCCGCAGAAAGCUCUCACCCGGACCCAAACACCAUCAAUUCCGACCGGGAACGCCUCCACAAGGCCCCGUCUCCACCCGCCACCCAUCCACCUGCCCCGGGGUUGGGGCGGCCACCGCGAGGGACCAGGUCUCCGGACGCAGCCUCAGAGGGGAAAGUGCGGCUGAUCCGCCGGCCCGGACACCUGCUGAGCUCCGGCCCGCGGGGCUCCAAAGGUGCCGGGAAAGGGCCUCCUGCUCUGGGGUCUGGAGGCCUGCGGUGUCUCUGCUUUCAAAUCAGCAUGUAACUAUUUUACCACGGACUAGGCAUGGCUCUGGGGAAGAAGGUAACGGUAUUAAGUAUUUAGGUUGAGAACCUGCUCCGCAAGUGGAAGAGCUGAGUGUCACCGAGGAGUUCACGAGAGCUCGAAAGAAACAAACCAUUCUUUAAACCAAAAUAGGGGAACAGGGCUGCCAUCCGUUGUAUGUUUGCAUCUUAGUGUUAAAAUAAAAAAUUAAAGGAGGUGGGAGGAAAACUUCCACCGAUGAA